CUCGUCUAGAGUUAUAACAACAAAAAAGUCAUUAUCGCUGCUGCGAUCCAACUUCAGCAAGAUAAAAAGGGGUGGUAAUACUGAAAAAAUCAUACAAUGGGUGAUAAUAUUGUCAAGGUAGCGCGUAAGCAACACGGAUCAUAUCAUUAAUGAAGCUCUGACACAUGGGCAAACAUGAAGUUCAGGUCCUUAAAGGGGAACUGAAGUGAAAAACGAUUUUUUUACCACUGAUAAAGGUUCCCGUGCUGAUUCCAAAACCGUUUGAAUUUUUUUAAUACGUUAUGUAGUUUUUAAGUUAUUAAGUUUUUAAAGUCGAAAUUUGCCCUCAUCGAUGGCGGAGCGAGAACGCGGUCGGACCACUGUGUCACGUGACCUUGUGACGUAAAGUGGUGGACACGAAGAGAUGUUUUGAUGUAAUGUAGUAGUGAGUUUGAUUAGGUUCAUGACAGAUAACAAUCGUGAAAAUUGUGAUAAAAGCAUGAAACUUGGUGAAAAUAUAGAAUUCGGUAUGCGUAACAAGAUAGAAUAUAGAAUCAUUUUGGGAAAAAACCCUUGUGCUAUUUUUAGCCUGGGGUACUUGUGCCCAGUACUCAGAAUACGUUAGUAUGGUAAAUCUAUUUCUGUUAACUAUACAACCAUGAAACUUGGCAAACCGACACAAUUUGACGUGCUGAAAAUGAUAAGAAUGGUCCCCAUCCUCAGAAAUACCCCUUGUGCUAUUUUUAGACUAGGGUACUUGUGCCCAGUACUCAAAAUACGUUAGUAUGGUCAAUCUAUUUCUGUUAACUAUACAGCCAUGAAACUUGGCAAACCGACACAAUUUGACUUGCUGAAAAUGAUAAGAAUGGUCCCCACCCUCAGAAAUACCCCUUGUGCUAUUUUUAGACUGGGGUACUUGUGCCCAGUACUCAAAAUACGUUAGUAUGGUCAAUCUAUUUCUGUUAACUAUACAGCAGGCCUGGCCGUUUGAGGCGAGCGAUAGCUCGCGCUCCCCUCGCAACCUGAGGCGAGCUAUGAAUUGCUCUCCUAAACAGAACAUGAAGGGAGAAUCGCUCCCCUAAAAUUUCCAUUCAUUAGCCUUUUUCCUAUUCAGAGAACCCUGAAAACGGGUUAAUUGGCUUAUUUUUGUGACAGCGAUUUUCUCCCGUCACUGCAUUUUUUGCAAUUAACUUUUUGCUUGUUGGGCGGUUUUUAUUAUGAUAGGCAUAAACUUUGAUCUAUUUGGAAAAGGAUAGUUAACCGAAAGGUACGUUUGUAGCGAUUAGAACCUUUCAAUCUUAAGAAAACAGGAAUAUUUUUGGAAGGAAAGUCGAAGAAAUGGGUAGGAAUUGUAGAUUGGGGAUAUAAUAAGACAGCAGGUCCCUUCCAGCAAUAGAAACAAAACUAUCCCUCAAAGAGAACAGGGUACCCUGUCUUGCAGAUCAAAAACGACAACCAAAACAUGGAAUUCCACUAUCGAGCAGCAUUUACUGAAAAACCCAGAUUGGGUGAAAAACUAUAACGGUGACAUGUUUCGCAUUAUUGGCAAAGCCUGAUCAUCGUUCCAUCUAUGUAGCAGUUGGUAACAUUUUCAAUAGGAAAGGGGCACUUAUUGGAAAACCUCAACAGUCAUGUCCUCGCGUUUUCUGAUGGCCUAUUUCGAUCCAAAACUGGGUAUUUUAGCGUAGAGUUUUCCUUCUAUGUUCUGACGUUUUAUUCUCUGAAGAGUGCUAGACGUAUAAUUAAGUUUGUUUCAAAAUUUCUUUACAUAAAACGGAGAGAGUCUGUUCUUUCAAAUACUUCAAGUAAAGGGGGUGCCUAAGUCACGGUUAAAGCAAAUACAAAUUGAAAGAAGUAAAACAUAACACUCCUGACUGAGGCAAUUACAUUAAGGCAACCGACAGAUACUAAAGGGGCUUAUUAAGUCAUCUGUCGAUUGUCUUCAAAGUGCAUUCUAUGUGUUACUGAUUUAGCUCGCCUCAGCAAAUGAGGGGAGCGAUUCACAGCUCACCUAUAAAAAUACAAACGGCCAGGCCUGAUACAGCCAAGAAACUUGGCAAACCCACAUAAUUUACUUGCAGAAAAUGAUUGAGUGGUCCCCACUUCAGAAAUAACUCUUAAGCUAGUUUUAGAAUGGGGGUCCUGUGCCCAGCACUCAGAGGACAUAACUAUGGUUAAUCCAUUUCUGUUAGCUGUAGAGCCAUGAAACUUGCCAAUCCUACACAAUUCGGUUUGCUGAAAAAGACAAAAGUAGUCCCCCACCUCAGAAAUACCCCUUUAAACAUGAUUUUCUAUGUCUAUAGAACAUGAUAUCAAAGCAUUUUCUGGUAUAACUCCAGGCACAAAAAACAAUUCAUACCAGGAUGUACAUAAAGGAGAAGGAUUUAAAGCACAACCAUUAAAUGAUGUAUAUAUAUGUUUCCAAGUUUAUUAAAAGACCUUAUCUUAACAAAAGAUAUGUCAGGGUUUCUAUCUCAUAACCGUCUAUGAAAAAUGUUGAGUUGAAGCAAAUUUCAGAAAAAUAUAACCAUUGGGCACCAAAAAACUUCAUUCUCAAAAUUUGAAAACAGUGUAUCUAAACAACAGGCAGUAACAGAAUACAUUAAAAGAACAUUGUACUGUGAAGGUAAAACAUUUUCUUCUGAUUAUGUAUAAAAAAUGUUACCAAGCAGGUGGUACAGGGCCAUUAUUGUAAGAGAAAAACUUUAUCAAAUCCAAACUAUUCUACACAUUUUGAUGUGAGUAAAAUAUCUUGAAAAAUAUACCUUAGGAAUCUUGAAAAUAUCAAGCCUUGCUCAAUCUCCACUAGUUUUAACAAAUUUCCAACUUAUAACAUGACCCCACUAGUUCUAAAUUUCUCUUCUGGCUAUUAUGAACUGAAAGUCUGGUCCCUUUGAAUAACCCCUGUAUAUAACCCUGUACUCCACUGUAUAUGUAGUAGGUAGCUGAGUUUUGCAUUUUCAUUGUCUCUCUGCAGAAUUUUGAAACCCUUGUCUUCUUUGACUAAAGUUCUUUUCUUUACAUUUUGUGAUAAAUUCAUACUUAAAGUUGUCCAGUUUUUCCAGCACAAAUACCCAAAAACCAGCAAACCAUCCAUUGAUCGGUUUGUAGAUACACUGUUUGUAGAUACCUAGCAAAAUGGAUAUAAUUUUAGGUAUUAAUCUAUUUUAGGCAUAUUUAUGCAAUUCUAUUAAAUAUUUGACAUUUUCGAAUUAUCAGUCCAAAAAUCUUAAUUGCAGUAAGAUUUAAUAAUACUU